UUUGACGUAAGCGAGGUUUGUCAUUCAUGAAAUUAUUUUGUAGGUCAUUGUUUCAAUGCAGGUAUUUUGGAAUUGAAUAUGUUAACUGUGUAGCAGCAGCUUUGAGGAAACUGUCAGAACUCAUUGUGAAUUGUUUACAAUUUUCUUGGUUUGUAUGUUUUUUUUUUUUUUUUUAUCACCACCUGGGGCUUGUCUAAUAACCCAAGUUUAACUUGAUCAUUUGACUAUUUUACCUUUUUGGAAAUCCCUGAAUUUUUUUCACAGGAAGCUUGUAUAAGCCGGACUUGUUGACACAGGAUUUUCAAUCUGUUUUACAUGUACACUGACUGAAAACAUGCUAGUUGUAGCAGCAAAACAAAAUGUAGGGUUGGAUAAAUUAUAUUAAAAAAACUAGGACAAUCAUAAUAUUAUAAGAAAAGUUUUAUGACAAAAAAAAUUCUAGGUUUUUAAAUUGAAUUUACUAAUUUAACGAUAAUAGUUUUUAACCUUUUUCAAUGUGCGCCUUUCAGAACUGCGUGUCGACAGUAUUUUUAUACGUGAUCAUUUUUGUUUUCAGAUAAAUGGCGAAUUUAAGCGCAUUACCACCAUGCCCCUACAGUCCAGAUUUCUGUCGCAGAUAGAUGUGCUGUCUGACAAAUUUCUAAAGCUAUUUCAAAAGCGAGGAGGACAGAUAGGAAGAAGACUGCAGACCAUCAUGAACCCAUGGCUCAAGAUGAUGAUGUUGAUAUUUGAUGAGAAUGUAUUAUCAAGGGGUUCUGCGUGUACCUCAAUGAGGACCCGGACAAUUUAGUGAGAGAGUAUGUGGCUGCAGACGAAGCUUUCAUCCAAAGAUCCAUUGAGGAGAUCACAGUGGGAAUCUACGUACUCAAACACACAGAUAAUAAUAAUAAUUUAAUAAUAAUUGUAUUUAUUUAUCACACAUUUGCACAUAUACAGUGAAAUUCUUCUUUUCACAUAUCCCAGCUAAGCUGGGGUCAGAGUGCAGGGUCAGCCAUGAUACAGCGCCCCUGGAGCAGAUAGGGUCAAGGGCCUUGCUCAAGGGCCCAACAGUGGCAUCUUGGUGGUGCUGGGGCUUGAACCCCUGACCUUCUGAUCAGUAACCCAGAGCCUUAACCAACAUAGUUAAGCCACCACUGCCCAUAAAAAAAAGAUGCCCGUGACAGACCAGAGGACAUUGGAUUAUUCUUGAGGGCCAGAUGGUUUUACAAGAUUUGGGUAACUUUGCAUUAGCUGCUGCGAUUUUAUUUGGACUAAUGUAUGUUUCGAAGCUCAACUACCCACCUGAAUUGAAGGAUACCUUUGAGGUCAUGGAGCUGGAAGGCAGCACACUUUCAAAGAAAGCAAAAAUUCUCAGAAACAGACUCUAUGUAUGAGCUGUUUCCAUGUUAUGGCAGGUGGGCACAAGGUAGUUUCCCGUGUUUGCCUCUUUGAACAAGGACCAUUAUUUAUUUUUCAUUACACACACACACAUACACACAAAGCUUACUUAUACAGCACAUAUGGAGUGAAACAUUUAACAGAGGGUAGGUUGGCCACUGUUUAUUUUAUUUAUUUUUGUGGUGAUGUGUAUAGCAUGUGUACUGUGUUUGUUUUUCCCUUGUCAAAUUUGCAGUGCAUUUAUUUUAUUUUUUUUUUCAUUAAUGUUACUGACCAAAUUCAAGUUGGCACUUUUAUGGUUUACGGGUAAUUUUACGUUAUUAAUUAUUUACUUUAUACUGUCAAAAGUUCUUAUUGUGCAAUACUGUAACGUUAUGAGCAAGCAAGUAUGAACUCUUAAAACUUUGAGCCUGUAAAUACUGUUAUGGAGCAUUCAUUGUUACAUUUUUUUGAGGUGAAUAAAUAUUUUUUUGUUUUUGGUCUGUUCAUUAUGCUCUCAUAUGGGGUUUGAGUCCUGCUAUAGGAGGUGUGGCUUAUUUAAGUCGAACCAGCAUUAGUCUUGUUAGCAAUAUUAAUCGCCACACCUCGUACUGCUUUGCGAUAUUUUACUAAUUACACUUCCUGUUGCCAUAGUGCCUUAUUUUCCUAAUGGCUCUUACAAUGACAAAAAUGCAAGUUUAUUUUUUGAAGUAAAGGUGAUAUUUUAAGGGCUUACAGUGUUGUAUUCGAGGCCCAGCAGCAUGUUUUUGAGACACUGUGUCGUGGUAAUAUAUUAGAUGCAUUUCAAAUAGGCGAGCUAUGUGUGUCACAUGCUUCUCUAUUGUACGGAUUGGAAGUCCAGUGUUACCGUUGAGUACUGUUGAAAAAAUUCAGUUAUUUGGUUCAAGAAAUGUUUUUGCUUCUUGCCUUACUGCCUUUAAAAAUGAACAUUAUUAAUGUUGUAGAUAGGACUACAUCAAGUAGAGGGAUGUACAAAAUGCAUUUAUUUAUUGACAAAAGUCAGCUUAUAGUAUGCCAAAGCUUUGUAAGUAUAGUGUUAGAUUAUUUAUUUUAUCAGGUUAGUUUAUCAGAACACCACUGCAUAUACUGCAUAUAUUUUAUAUAUUGGUUUAGUAUAUAUUAAAUAUACUAAACAUUUAAGACAAUUUUUAAAUUAAAAUAACUAUGUUGGUUAACACAUGGUAAUUCAAUACACUCAACAUAAAAAGCUUUCACUUAAACAUAAUUAAUGUUAAAUUAACAGGAGGUAAUUAUAAAUACUUGACAUAAAUGAAAAGCAUAAAAACAACAUAAAAAUCAUGUUCAUUUAACAAACAUAUAUUAGACAACUUGAACAUAGAUAAGUGCAACCGAUGUACAGAUUUGUUUUAUGUUAAUCCAACAGAUUUUUUUUCAGUCUAUCAUUAUUAAACCGAGUUGUUUAAUCAAUGUCUGUUCUAAUUAGACACAGUUUAAGAGUGAUUUUAACCAUUUCACAGGGUAACAUCUGAUUGCACAUGUUAACGUGGGACAUUGGUUUGAAUGAGAACUGGCGAUUACACUUGUCAGACUAAAGUAUCAUAUGGGCAGUGGUUAAGGCUCUGGGUUACUGAUCAGAAGGUCAGGGGUUCAAGCCCCAGCACUGCCAAGAUGCCACUGUUGGGCCCUUGAGCAAGGCCCUUGACCCUAUCUGCUCCAGGGGUGCUGUAUCAUGGCUGACCCUGCACUCUGACCCCAGCUUACCUGGGAUAUGUGAAAAAAAGAAUUUCACUGUAUAUAUGCAAAUGUAUAAUGUGUGAUAUAUAAAUUAAAUUAUAAAUAUGCAAUGUGGUCACAUGCAUUUUUGACACAUCCAUAUGAUUUUUUGUGAUCCAGUUACAAAAUGUUUUGGACCCUGUUUCUACCUGUAUUUAGCGCUGACCACUUGUGAUCGGACCACCAAAAACACAUCUUAAUACCAGGUGGAAACAGAGUCAUUGUGUUUUAGUUUACACUACACUUAGUUGCACAGAAUGUACUCACACUCGGUUUACUGUGAGCUUUACAGAUGUUUAUCUGAUAAUCGUACAUUACCAUGAAAACAUGAUCUAUAGGCAUUGCAAUUAAGUUUAAACUUCUGUAUCAGGAAUCUUUGACGAUUGGCCCUCAUUGUUCAUUGGUCUGUUCUCACAAUAAACUUACUAAUAUGAUGGCAACAUGAGGAAUCUUAUGUGUUAUUGUGUUACUUCUGAAAUGUAAUCUUUCAAAGAUUAAAAAUUACACAACAUAAAUUGUAAUCUAUAACAUAAUCUUUUAGAUUCCUGUUGAUCUAUUUGUUAUUUGUUAGGGGUUACAUGUGUGGUGAAUGAGAGAGUAAGCCAGGAAUGUGUGGCUACAACAUGAUCUGAGAAUGACAUGAUUAGCACUGCCUAUAACAGUAGUAACCCUCUCAGUGGGCGAAUGAUUAUUAUUCUGUCCAGUAGACAUUUACGAAGGUAAGGUAAAGGUUAAAUCAAAGAAAGAAGGGAUAGUCAAUUCAUUUUAGAAAAGACUGAAUGAAUGUGCAACUGUCAGACAGUUCAACCAUCUGUGAAUGAAGUUCCACGUAACUUAGGGUGACACAGAGAAGUGAUCAUAGUAUCUAUAUAGUGACUCGGGCAUACAGGUCUUAAUGCUACAUUAUUUUAUGAUGUGUAAACACAACACAGGUCAAUGCUAUUAUUGUGCAGUAAUGGAACCAGUAGAACAUGUAAUUUUACAAUGUAGAAGCUUUUCAGAGUAAAGGAAGUUACUAUGUAACAGUUUGUGUCAUAUUAAAGGAUUAUUUAACAUGGAAGGGGCUUGACUGAGAAACACAACUGUUUUUCAAAGUAAUUAUGUUAUGUCUGUAAGCAGUUGUGUAGUCGGGGCCUUUCACAUGUAUACGCCGUAUGAUUGCUUUUUUCCCUCGGCUGUUUGGGUAUAACAACUUCUAAAGAUCAAUAUUUGAGUAUUCACUUGGUAUACCCACUUGUGUUGCUGCAUCAGAAGCCCAUAAUCUACUGUCGUGUUAGUUUCCCUUUAACUGUAUUCAAUGCUGUUUUGUGACACUGGCGAUUCUUUGAUGUAAUUGAUGCAUUAUCACUGAAUUCUACCAUUUCCCACCACUGACAACCAUCAGUGAGUGGACAGAGAGAGAGAGAGAGAGAGAGAGAGACAUAGAUAGAUAUCAGUGGAGAGAGAGAGAGAGAGACAGAUAGAUAUCUAUGGAGAGAGAGAGAGACAUCGAUAUCUAUGGAGAGAGAGACACCCUCAUGCUGAACAGUAUCAGGUACAACUAAUUAGCAAAAUAUAUGUUGCCAAACGUCCCGUAAAAUAAUUAAUCGUCUCCUAAUUGUGGGGAAAAAAUUUGUGUUCUGUAUGAAAUCCAUAAGCGAUUCACACAAACUGCUGAGAAAGUUUCACAAAUCAAGAGAAAUGAACACACUUAUCACGUGAGUUGUGUGAGAUAUCUGUUGCUUUACAUUUUACGCUACACUUGAAAGAAGCGGCUUGGGGAGAUUAAUAACAAUCAGCACGUCUUCUGUCGUGUUUUCUGUCAGAAUCAGGAGAAUUUGGUGAAACAGCAUUCGAGCGCAUGUUAAUUGUUUUCCACCAUUGAGAUUGUAAAACACCAGUAAACGCACCUAUUCAUGACAUGACGAUACAUUUUAUUGUAAACUAUUUUCAUGUUUAUCCUUUUCUCUCGUCUUCCUGGUCGUUUUAUUAAAGCGUUUUUCAUUUUAAGUUUAGUAGGGGACGUUCACACUGAACACGUUUUUUCCAUCCGUCCGCACUGUUUUUCAAUGUGAAGGAGCGCCUGUAUAAAAUGGAUCAUUUCACAAUUCGGUGACAUUUAUUCCCCAGUACAAGUGUGUGUGGUAUUUAUAUUGUUUAAUUUCAACUGAUUACAUUUUUAAUAGGCUUGUUAUAAAGAAUAAAGACUAUUUAUAAUGUUACACACUUCUGUGGGCUUAAAAGCUCAAUUUUAAUUUAAAUCCUUUUCAGCUUUUGCACUGUCAUUUCCUCUUGUCCCCAAAACUGCACGUCAUAAAGCUUUGACAAAAAUAAAUGUUAAAUCAAUGGAUUUGUUUU